rnacentral:lncRNA from 1 species
GACCUCUAUUUUCAUCAUAUGGUUUCCAAAUUACAGAGUACUGUCUGGAUAUUUUGACUUACAUCUCCAGUGUAGCCGCUUCUGUCGCACUACAACAAGUAAUUAAUCCACCAAUUUAAAUGUAAUGAUCUGUUGUUCCCUAUCUGCCAUGGCAGAGAUCUUUUAUUUUAAGUAAAACCAGUACCACCACCAAAAACACUCCAUUAUGAGUUCAGCAUUCAAACUUUCAGUUAAAGCAACAUUAUGUAGUUUCUUCACCUUAAAAUAACAGCUUUAAAGAUCACUGUGAUGGUACAGUGUCUUGUAAUGGGGUGAAUGGUGUCACUUCAGUGAGAGGGUAGGAUCACAGCCUUACAAACGUGCUUACUUCAAGAUGCAAGUUUUCAACACACAACAUUGUUAUGACAUAAUAGGAGAUUUGUAUUGACGACGGUGGUGUUGAACUCAGAAGCUGGUCGGUGCACAAAAUGCCAGUUUCUACAUAAUGUUGCUUUAGGUAAAGGUAGUUUUCAGCCAAAAUCAAUUUAAGUAUUUCAAAUUAAUUUGGCAGAAUAACACUGUCUGUGAAACGAUAUUAUUUCCAAAACAGUUUUUUUUUCAUACUGAUUCAUUAACUUUUUGGUUGAGGUGGAGUUAAUCUUAUUUAUUCUAUACUAGGACUGAAUCAAUUAGUAGAUUAAUCAAAUAGUCAAUGAAAAGAAAAUUUAUCAGCAACUGUUCAUGUAAUCAACUGUAAUCAUUGAUGUUGUUUCAUCAAUACCAUCUUGUACUGUAUAAAAACUACAUUUUGUAAAAACAUGUUUCUGCAAAGUAAGUUAGUCUUGAUACUUGACUUCUGAGAGUCAACUCUAGUAUUGUUUUCUUUUACAUAAUUAAUCUUUAAUUUACUGUCAUUUCAGGAGGCAGUGCUGAUGAUGGGGGAGUUAAGAGAGAAGGCUGCCAAGCCAGUGACUGCAGUUCGACCACUCAAUAUAAUUUUAAGGAGACCUCAGGACAGUUUCAGGCCAUGUUUGUGUCACCAAAAGGACUUUCAUUGAAAUUCAUGCUCUCAAGGACCGGCACCCAUGCAAGGCCAGAAGAUAAUAGGCGACCUAUUUACCCAGCAGUUUUAUUUAUC